GGAUUGAAAUGGGGGCACCCUGAUCCAGCCAUNCCGCGUGAGUGAAGAAGGCCUUCGGGUUGUAAAGCUCUUUCGGUGGGAACGAAACGGUUACCACUAAUACUGGUGACUACCGACGGUACUCACAGAAGAAGCACCGGCUAACUACGUGCCAGCAGCCGCGGUAAUACGUAGGGUGCGAGCGUUAAUCGGAAUUACUGGGCGUAAAGCGUGCGCAGGCGGUGGCUCAAGCCAGGCGUGAAAUCCCCGGGCUUAACCUGGGAAUGGCGUUUGGGACUGGGUCGCUAGAGUGUGGCAGAGGGAGGUGGAAUUCCACGUGUAGCAGUGAAAUGCGUAGAGAUGUGGAGGAACACCGAUGGCGAAGGCAGCCUCCUGGGCCAGCACUGACGCUCAUGCACGAAAGCGUGGGGAGCAAACAGGAUUAGAUACCCUGGUAGUCCACGCCCUAAACGAUGUCAACUGGUUGUUGGGGAAGGAAACUUCCUUAGUAACGAAGCUAACGCGUGAAGUUGACCGCCUGGGGAGUACGGCCGCAAGGUUAAAACUCAAAAAAAUUGACGGA
rnacentral:rRNA from 1 species